GUUAUCACCAUCAUCGGAUAAUAUCAAAUUUUGCCCACUUCCUAUUGCUUGCUCCCUAGUAGCAUAUGUAUCACCAAAUACAAUGCACAACUCGGGAUAAGAAGGAAACCCAUCCUUUUUGAAUUUCGCCCACUCAAUGUUAUCUUUCACAUGAAAUUCCAAUA